rnacentral:rRNA from 1 species
GCCUACGGCCAUACCACCCUGAAAGCGCCUGAUCUCGUCUGAUCUCGGAAGCUAAGUAGGGACGGGCCUGGUUAGUACCUGGAUCGGAGACCGCCUGGGAAUUUCAUGAGUUUUAGGCU